AUUGAACGCUGGCGGCAGGCUUAACACAUGCAAGUCGAGCGUGGGGCGGACGGGUGAGUAAUGUCUGGGCAUCGCCCAGUUGAGGGGGAACACAGUGGGAAACGACUGCUUAUACCGUAUACGAUUGGCUUGCCUAGGUGGGUUUAGCUUGUUGGGGAGGUAAUGGCUCACCAAGGCGACGAUCCCUAGCUGGUGUGAGAGGAUGAUCAGCCAAACUGGAACUGAGACACGGUCCAGACUCCUACGGGAGGCAGCAGUGGGGAAUUUUGCACAAUGGGCGAAACCCUGAUGCAGCCAUGCCGCGUGUGUGAAGAAGGCCUUCGGGUUGUAAAGCACGUUCAUCGGGGAGGCGGUACUCGAAGAAUAAGCACCGGCUAACUCCGUGCCAGCAGCCGCGGUAAUAC
rnacentral:rRNA from 1 species